ensembl:lncRNA
UAAACCCUGCCAAUAGAUGGACUCAGAGAGUGUGUGGGUCUGGAGGUAAACCCUGUCAAUAGAUGGACUCAGAGAGUGUGUGGGUCUGGAGGUAAACCCUGCCAAUAGAUGGACUCAGAGAGUGUGUGGGUCUGGAGGUAAACCCUGCCAAUAGAUGGACUCAGAGAGUGUGUACUCUCUCUACAGAGUGAGAAUCUGUACAGGGCCUCUUCUAUAAUGGUGUGAUUGUCAGUGAGGAUUAUUAUUAUAAAUUGGCCAUCCCCUGACCCCACUCACCUGGGUCGUGUUCAUUAGGCACCAAACGGAAUGAAAAACUAAGGGACAAUCUAUGCUCAGAAACACUACUUUUCCAUUACAAAACAUGUUUUUCUGUUUUCUGUUGCAUGUCCUAAUGAACACAACCCUGUUCGGGACAGGAAGGACCAUCAUCCCUACAGCCCCUCCAUAUCCCAGGCCAGCCCAGGGAGAAAGCUGACUUACAGAGCAGCCAUCACAAGAAAUAUCAAACAAAACUUCAACAUCACAAAAUGUCUCGUCUGAACAUCGAUGACAACAGAACAAACAAAUGACUAACAAAAACUACCAUAACUGUAAUUAUUCUCAAAACGAUGGACAUACCGUAUGGACAAUAAAGUCUGGACAUACCAUAUGAAAAAUAAAGUAUGGACAUACCGUAUGAAAAAUAAAGUAUAGACAUACCAUAUGGACAAUAAAGUAUGGACAUACCAUAUGGACAAUAAAGUAUGGACAUACCAUAUGGACAUACCGUAUGGAAUAUAAAGUAUGGACAUACCGUAUGAAAAAUAAAGUAUGGACAUACCGUAUGAAAAAUAAAGUAUGGACAUACCAUAUGAAAAAUAAAGUAUGGACAUACCAUAUGAAAAAUAAAGUAUGGACAUACCAUAUGGAAAAUAAAGUAUGGACAUACCAUAUGGAAAAUAAAGUAUGGACAUACCAUAUGGAAAAUAAAGUAUGGACAUACCAUAUGGACAAUAAAGUAUGGACAUACCAUAUGGACAUACCGUAUGGAAUAUAAAGUAUGGACAUACCGUAUGAAAAAUAAAGUAUGGACAUAC